GAGGAGGUGCCAGGCUCCUUUUAACAAGCAGCUCUCGAGGGAACCAGUAGAGCAAGAGCUCCCCCCUAAGAGGCCCACCCCUACGACCCAAACACCUCCCAUAAGGCCCCCACUUCCAACAUUGGGAUCAAAUUUCAACAUGAGGUUUGGGGCAACAAAUAUCCAAACUACAUCAGUAGUAUUGUUAAGAUUAGUAACAUGACUCAAUCUGCUUUGGAGCCGCUUGCAUGUAAACAUACGUCAAGGCCCCGUAACAGGUGCCAUGAUGGAAGUCCAAGCAGAGAGACCAAGUGCAGGGAAUCAGCCGAGUCUUCAGAAGGGACAGGGUGUUGGAACUGAGUCUUACUAGCACCACGUGGGCGGGGAGGCUGCCUGCACCAGACACAGCUCUCAGCCCACCACACACUGAGCUUCUGUGAAAGCGCUAAAUUUAGGACCUGAAACCAGCUCAAAUGGGGACAGCAGAGCCGGCUGCGCCGAAGGACCUGGUCCAGAUGAGGAAAGCAAGGCACAGAGAGGUUAGCAACAUGCCCCAAAUCACACAGAGAGCUCCCUCUGUGCACACUGAGGACAGAAUAUGCAAACAGA